rnacentral:rRNA from 1 species
GUUGUAUGGUUAAGUGACUAAGCGUACACGGUGGAUGCCUUGGCAGUCAGAGGCGAUGAAAGACGUAAUAACUUGCGAUAAGCCCAGAUUAGGUAGUAAUAACCUUUUGAGUCUGGGAUUUCUGAAUGGGGAAACCCACGUGCAUAAGCACGUAUCCUGUUGUGAAUACAUAGCAGCAGGAGGCAAACCGGGGGAACUGAAACAUCUAAGUACCCCGAGGAAGAGAAAUCAACCGAGAUUCCGAAAGUAGCGGCGAGCGAAAUUGGAUUAGCCCUUAAGCUUUUAAUGAUGCAGGUGAAGCCUCUGGAAAGUGGCGCAGUAAAGGGUGAUAGCCCCGUAACCGACACAUCAUCUUGAGUGAAAACGAGUAAGGCGGGACACGUGAUAUCCUGUCUGAAUAUGGGGGGACCAUCCUCCAAGGCUAAAUACUCCUGACUGACCGAUAGUGAACCAGUACCGUGAGGGAAAGGCGAAAAGAACCCCUGUGAGGGGAGUGAAAUAGAACCUGAAACCGUGUACGUACAAGCAGUGGGAGCCUCUUUAUGGGGUGACUGCGUACCUUUUGUAUAAUGGGUCAGCGACUUAAUUUUAGUAGCAAGGUUAACCGUUUAGGGGAGCCGUAGGGAAACCGAGUCUUAACUGGGCGUACAGUUGCUAGGAUUAGACCCGAAACCAGGUGAUCUAGCCAUGGGCAGGUUGAAGGUUGAGUAACAUCAACUGGAGGACCGAACCGACUAAUGUUGAAAAAUUAGCGGAUGACUUGUGGCUAGGGGUGAAAG